rnacentral:rRNA from 1 species
GACGUAGGGCGCGAGCGUUGUCCGGAUUUAUUGGGCGUAAAGAGCUCGUAGGCGGCUUGUUGCGUCGACUGUGAAACCCCGCAGCUCAACUCCGGGCCUGCAUUCGAUACGGGCAGACUAGAGUUCGGUAGGGGAGUCUGGAAUUCCUGGUGUAGCGGUGAAAUGCGCAGAUAUCAGGAGGAACACCGGUGGCGAAGGCGGGACUCUGGGCCGAUACUGACGCUGAGGAGCGAAAGCGUGGGGAGCGAACAGG